rnacentral:rRNA from 1 species
UACGAAGGGGGCUAGCGUUGUUCGGAAUUACUGGGCGUAAAGCGUAUGCAGGCGGACUUUUAAGUCGGGGGUGAAAUCCCGAGGCUCAACCUCGGAACUGCCUUCGAUACUGGAAGUCUUGAGUCCGGGAGAGGUGAGUGGAACUCCGAGUGUAGAGGUGAAAUUCGUAGAUAUUCGGAAGGAACACCAGUGGCGAAGGCGGCUCACUGGUCCCGGUACUGACGCUGAGGUAGACGAAAGCGUGGGGAGCAAACAGG